GAGUAGAUGGGUUCUAUUUAGAAGCAAUUAGGCUUUAAUUGAUACACCACGUAUAUGUCCAAAUGGAUACUAUUUGCUACGAUAGGAAUGCUUGAAAGUAUGGCGUUUAAUUGGAUAGCUUUUGUAGCCACUAGAAUCUAUGCGGAGAUGGGAGUCAAGCGGAAGAUAGAAAAAUUUGCGUCUUUGCUUUGUUCUAAUUAUGUAUACUCCAUGAUUGUAUAUAUAUUGACUCAAACACUAUUAGUAAGGGAGAAAAAUAUGCCUUGUCCAGUGCCUCAAUUAAGUAUUCCGAGUUUAACGGCAUUGACAGCUAGUCUAGGGGUCGUGGUACACAAAAUUGGAGAAUCAAGUAACUCGUUGAGAUAGGAGGCUAUACCAGAGAUUACAUCAGAGCAGAUUCUAAUUUAUUUGGCG
rnacentral:lncRNA from 1 species